rnacentral:tRNA from 1 species
GCCUGGCUGGCUCAGUUGGUAGAGCACUCAACUCUUGAUUUCAGGGUUGUGAGUUCAAGCCCCAUGUUAGACA